rnacentral:lncRNA from 1 species
GAACGUAUAUCAGAUAUAGAGGUGCAAUGCAAUAUUUGUCAACAAAUAUAUAAGCAUAGAAGUGGAGGCAAGUAAGGGGUACAGGUACGUUAAUGAGACAUAUAACUGAAGAUCACAAAAGAGAGUUAAAUAUUGCACAAGGUGGUGGGGAUGUUGGUGGGCCAACGCAAACUAGAAUGGACCCAGCAACCGGUCACGUAGCGAAGAAGUAUAAUAAAUUGAGGGACCAGGAAGAAAUAGCUAAAAUGGUAGCUGUGGGUUGUUUGCCUUUUAGUUUUCCUUCUUN